AACUCAAAAUCACAAACAGAAAACAAGGUCAAAUGGCCACUCGUAUCCCCCAUUGCUAGAAACUUUUCUCCUUUUUUUCUUUCCUUCUCUCUCUUAAAACCAUCAAGAGAAGGACACCAUUGAAGGCAAGUAAUGUCACCAGAUGUUUCAAAUAUUUUUUU
rnacentral:ribozyme from 13 species